CGCGGCCCCGUUGCGGCUGUGGGCUGCGGAGCCGGGCGCCCGGGAACGCGGAGCGGGGCCCCCAGAUGGACUCGGUGGUCUUUGAGGCUGUGGCUGUGGACUUCGCCUCGGAGGGUGGUGUUUGCUGGAUUCUGUGCAGAAGAACCUCUACAGAGACGUGACGCUGGAAACCUUCCAGAACCUGGUCUCCGUGGGAGAGGAUGGCUUCAGGCCAACAACUCUCUCUCAUCAGUGCUUUUCCUAGAUUUGAAAUGUGGAAAAGGACUACAUUGAUUAUUUAAAGCCAGUGGGUUGGUUCCACAGUGUGUGCGUGAGAGAAAAAAAUAUCUAAUGAACAGAAAAUGGCAAAAUUCACAAGAAAUACUUCUUGUGCCUACAUUUUAGAAGAACACUGGGCAGACCACGGCAACCACGCAGGACGCCCGAGAAAUCCUGUGACAGGCCGGUUCCGGGAACGCGAUGAAGGAAAUCAACACACAGACACGUGCAGCCCCUUUCCCCAUCCUGAUUCCCUGCAAAAAUACUUCUACUGGAGUAAAGCUCUGUGAACGCGCCAGGCGUGGCCAUGGCUGCAUGCACCCGUCUUCCCUUAGGAGGCAGGUCGGAUCUCACCGGGGACAAAACCCGCAUCGGGGUCGGGGCGCCGGCAGGCCUGCAUUUGUCCCGUGUGCCGGAGGACUCACGCCCGAGGGAAACGCUAUGGUGGUAAAACCUUUCCUCAUUUCUGCUCCCUCACUCAGCAGGUCAGGAUUCACCCUACAGAGAAAACCGAAAGCCGGCGUUGUGGGAAAACCUUCCGUGAACGCUCCAGGCUCAGACGCACGAGCAGGCGCCCUGGGGAGGAGCCGUGCGGGUCCAGGCCUGUGGGAAGGCCUCCUGAUCCUCACUCCCUCCACACAGGAAGGGACGGGCUUCAGGUCCGCCGGGCACGGGCGAGUGCACGCCGGCAAGAAGCCGUAUCCGUGUCCGGAGUGUGGGAACGUCCUCCCUUAUCCCUCGGGCUUUCAAAGGCACAUGAUAGCGCACGCUGCAGAGAAGCCCCAAGGCAGUCCCGUGGGAGCACGUUCCGGCAUCCCUGCUCCCUCUCUGCACACUGAAGCGUCACCCAGGAGAGAAAACCCGUAAAUGCAAGCGGCGCGGCGCGGCCUUCCUGGAGCUCGCCGGGCUCGGGCCGCACGAGGACUCCUGGUGAGAAGCCGCGAACAUGUGAGGAGGGGGCGAGCCUCCGGCCCCCCAAGACACCCGGCCGCGCGCGCCGGGGAGAAGCCCUUUACAUGUAAACAGUGUGGGAAAACCUUCCGUUCUCCCCAGUUCUCGACUGAGCCCCCCAGGCGCCCAGAUGUCUAACGCUUGACUUCAGCUCAGGCCAUGAUCUCCCAGUUCAUGGGUU